rnacentral:piRNA from 1 species
UUGCUUCUUUGAUUGGUCUGUAAG